rnacentral:SRP_RNA from 1 species
AGCCGGGUCCUGCGCAGCAAAGAGCCGCAAACCCCGCCAGGUCCGGGAGGAAGCAACGGUAGCGAUCUCUUUGUGUGCCGCGGGGCGCCCGGCUAUC